rnacentral:rRNA from 1 species
UACAGAGGUGGCAAGCGUUGUUCGGAAUUACUGGGCGUAAAGGGCGCGUAGGCGGCCCGUCAAGUCCCGUGUGAAAGCCCCCGGCUCAACCGGGGAACUGCACGGGAAACUAGCAGGCUUGAGUUCGGGAGAGGGAAGCGGAAUUUCGGGUGUAGCGGUGAAAUGCGCAGAUAUCAGGAGGAACACCGGUGGCGAAGGCGGGUCUCUGGGCCGAUACUGACGCUGAGGAGCGAAAGCGUGGGGAGCGAACAGG